UUCUUACUGAAAUUAUUGUAAGUAACACCUGCUCAAUGAAUUUAUUUAAAUUGCCGCAGAAAUUUAACUGUGCUAAGGUAGCAUAAUCAUUAGCCCCUUAAUUAGGGGCUCGUAUGAAGGGUGAAACAAUUCAAUUCCUUUCUAAUUUAAUUUAUUUUAAUUUAAACUAAGAAUAAAAAUGUUCUUAUUAUUUAAAUAGACGAUAAGACCCUUUUGAACUUCACUUUAGUUUAGCUGGGGCAGCUAAAAAAUAAUAAUCUUUUUUUCAAUUAUUACAUAGAAGACCCAAUUAAAUUGAUUUUUCGAACAAGUUACCAUAGGGAUAACAGCGUAAUAUCUUUUUAAAGCUCUUAUUAAAAAAGAAGAUUGCGACCUCGAUGUUGAAUUAGUGUUACUUAAAAAUGCAGUAAUUUUUAAAGUAGGUCUGUUCGACCAUUAAAACACUACAU
rnacentral:rRNA from 2 species